AGCAAAGUCCGGCAACAUUUUAAAUUGCGCUCAGCUGUUCAGUGAAAAUAAACAAAAGAUAUAAUAAAGAUAAAUGUUAGCGAAAACCGGUUCCUAUAUGACAAACGUCAUAGGAAUUAUAAAAAUAGCUACCUGAGGGACGCCAAAUUUCAGGAGCUAUCGCAGAAAUUGCAUAUUCCAGCUAAGGGCCCGUUGGCGGACCCUACGAGAUAAAUUUUACAAAGACUUAAAAAAGAGACCAUCAGAAAGCGGCGUGCAUUCGCCACACAAAAAGUGGAAGUGUAUAGAGAGCCUAAAGUUUUUAAAGGACGUUGAAAUGGACAACUUGAACACACAAGGCAAUUAUGGCACCGUAACGACAGAAAUCUGAAUCUGCCUGCAGCAGUGUCAAUUUAAAUAUCUUUUCUCAAUCACCGCAGACGCACACACAGACACAGACUGGACGGAAACGUAAAAUUGAGGAAUUACUUGAAAGCUCGAAUAGAGACUUUCAAAGAGUGACGUCGUUAGCCGAGGAAAUAUUGGUCGGUGGCACGGAGAGAUCCGCAAUUCAAUUUUUUUUUUUUGAAAGCCUUGCCAAGCAGGCGGAUGGAGCUAAUUUAAAUAGCCUGGAAAUGUCGGAGUUACAACUCCAAAUUUCUCAAACAUUCCACCAAUUUUUUGUGAAUCGUAGAAAAUAAGUUUUUCAUUAACAUCUUUUAUAAUAUUUAGCAUUUCAAAUAAAAGCCCAUUCAUUUCAAAUAUAUAAAAAAGUACAAAG